rnacentral:lncRNA from 10 species
CUUGGCUAUUUCUUUUCUCACUAAUUUGUGGAUUGGUUGAGAGGACAGUCCAGAGCUGAUCAGUACAGCUCCCAGCCCAGAGCAGGCUCUUAGCAACAGUGGGAGAGAUGAUGGCAACAUUCGAAAAAAGUGGCUGAGCCUAUCUGACCUGGAGUCAGCACUGAGAGAAUUUGGCUGUGGGACCAGGAACAAGUGACCUACCUCUUGAGGCCUGGUGUGACACAUGGAUGGCAGGCUGGAAAGUUUAUUUUUGAGUGGCAGCUGAGGAUGGUCAGCAGGCCAGGGUGCAAAUCCUGACCGUGAAGGAACUGGCACAGAGAUUGCACUCGGUGAAUGAAUGAAUGGAUGAAUAA